rnacentral:rRNA from 1 species
CCUACGGGUGGCAGCAGUGAGGAAUAUUGGUCAAUGGCCGAGAGGCUGAACCAGCCAAGUCGCGUGAGGGAAGACGGUGCUACGGGUUGUAAACUUCUUUUGUCGGGGAGCAAAGCGAGUCACGUGUGACUCAUUGAGAGUACCCGAAGAAAAAGCAUCGGCUAACUCCGUGCCAGCAGCCGCGGUAAUACGGAGGAUGCGAGCGUUAUCCGGAUUUAUUGGGUUUAAAGGGUGCGCAGGCGGCGGUUGAAGUCAGCGGUAAAAUUGCGGGGCUCAACCCCGGAGUGCCGUUGAAACUGCAUCCCUUGAGAGCGCGAGAAGUAUGCGGAAUGCGUGGUGUAGCGGUGAAAUGCAUAGAUAUCACGCAGAACUCCGAUUGCGAAGGCAGCAUACCGGCGCGCAACUGACGCUCAUGCACGAAAGCGUGGGUAUCGAACAGGAUUAGAUACCCUUGUAGUC